rnacentral:lncRNA from 1 species
UCAUGUCAACCCUGACAGGAACCCCGUCCUCCUCAGGACCAGCACUUUGGCUUCAGGACAUAUGGGGCUGCGUCUAUGCUGACAGGAGCCCACAGCCCCCUCAGGACCCACGGUGAGUUUUCUGGGGGCCAUGGGGCCAUGUCCAGGCUGACAGGAGCCCCCGGCUUCCUGAGGACCUGCUGUGACGCUUUAGAGAAUGUGAGACAUAGUCCACAGUGACAGGAGACCCGGCGUCCUCAGGACCCGCUGACUAUGACUCAGGAACACGUUGGGCCAUGUCCACACUCACAGGAGCCCGGCUUGCUUGGACCCCCUGGAGGACUCUGGAGGAGCCGUUGGGGGCCACGUCUACAUCAGAAGGGACUCCUCAGAACCACAUGGAGCCCACAGCCCCCUCAGGACCCGCGGUGAGUUUUCUGGGGGCCAUGGGGCCAUGUCCAGGCUUACAGGAGCCCUCGGCCUCCUGAGGACCUGCUGUGAGACUUCCAGAGGAUGUGAGGCAUAGUCCACAGUGCCAGGAGACCCGGCGUCCUCAGGACCCGCUGACUAUGACUCAGGAACACGUGGGGCCAUGUCGACACUCACAGGAUCCUGGCUUCCGCAGGACCCCCUGGAGGACUCUGGAGGCGCCAUUGUGGGCCACGUCCACAUCAGAAAGGACUACUCAGAACCACAGGGUAAGUGAAUGUGUAGAAUGAAUGGUAGGGUCAGGGGAGGUGAGGCAGUUGGUGGUUAAGUUAGGUUAGAUGUUAGGGUUUAGUGAUUAUGCUUAUGGUUACGGAUUAGAGGAUAGCGUGAGGGAUAAGGGUAAAUGUGACUGGUUAGGAGUUGGAUGGGGGUUAGGGAUUAGGGAAAGGGGUUAGGGUUAGUGUUAGGGACAGGAUUUAGAGUUAGGGUUAGGGUUUAGGCUUAGGGAUUAGGGCAGGAUGUUAGGAUUUGGGGUUAGGGUUAUGGUUAGUGUUAGGGUUGUGAUUAGGUUUGCGGUUAGGGGUUAGGGAGUGAGUUAGGGUUAGUUGUUAGGGUUAGGGGUUAGGGUUAAAGUUAGUGCUAAGUUUAGAGUUAGGGUGAGUGGUAAGGUUAGGUUAGGGGUUAGGAUUAGGGUUAGUGUUUGGUUAGGGGUAAUGGUCAGGUCAGGGUCAGGGUAGGGUCAGUGUACGGUUUUGGAAAAGGAUAAGGGAUAGGGUUAGGCAGUGGGUUAGGGGUUAGUUUUAGGGUACGGGUUAGGGUACAGUUUGGGGUAUGAGAUAGGAUUAGUAUUAGAGGGUUAGGGUUAGGGUACAGGAUAAGGUUAAGAAUAGGAUUUGAAUACAUUAAGUUAAGGUUAGGGUUAGAGUUUAGGGUUAGGGUUAGAUUUAAGGUAGGGGUCAGGGUUAAGGAAACCUAAGAAUAGGUUUAGGAGUUAGGGUGAGGCUUGGCAGGUAGGUUCAGUGAAUGUGUUCGGUCUUGGGGUUUGUGUUUGGUUUUUGAUUAGUGAUAGGUCUUGUUUAAGGUUUAGGUUAACAUUAGGCUUAAAUGUAG